rnacentral:lncRNA from 1 species
AGAAUGGAUUCCCUGACCUAAGAAUGAACUCCUUGAUCAUUUUGCAGGUGGUGCUCGGGAGCGCCAGUAGGGAGUGGGAAAGCAGACAGGGAAGGGAAAGAAGGCCAGCCAGGCACAGUGGCUCAUGCCCAUAAUUCCAGCACUUUGGGAGGCCAAGGUGGGUGGAUCACCUGAGGUCAGGAGUUUGAGAGCAGCUUGGCCAACGUGGUGAAACCCCAUCUCUACUAAAAAUACAAAAAUUAGCCAGACGUGGUGGUGCACACCUGUAAUUCCAUCUACUUGGGAGGCUGAGGCAGGAAAAUUGCUGGAAUCUGGGAGGUGGAGGUUGCAGUGAACCACGAUCAUNNNNNNNNNNNNNNNNNNNNNNNNNNNNNNNNNNNNNNNNNNNCAGGUGGGAAUAUUAUUUAAACAGGGAUUGAUGGAGGACAAAAGGGGUUUCUGGUUCCAUGAGGCAGGAGAUAAAUGAGAUGGGAAUCCUGAGUCAUGCAUUUUAUUCACUUCUCUGGAACGAGUUUUGGGGGCUCUUUUAGCAGAGAAAAUAGGACAAGAAAAAUGGACUCAGCUGGCAUUGGACAGAGUCAAAGCCAAAUGACUUCUGGGUUCUAAAUUUUUUUGUUUUGUCUUUAUUCAUACGUGUUGGUUGUUUGGAUUGUUUUUCAUUGACCAUUGUAAGCUAAAUCCAUAUCAGGAGGAUCUGAAAAGCUCAUAAUAAAAAUAUAAAGUAGAGACCAAGGGUUGUAAAAGUGGCAUUUUACUCAAGAUAUAGUAAGGCUGUUUUACAAUAGUGGGUAGUAAUCAAUAAUUUAAAUGAAAACCCUCAAGGGUUAGAUGAUGAUAGAGCUGAUGCUCUUCUUAUUGACCAAGAUGCACCAACCAGUCUUGAAGAGGAUCUCGUUUUGUAAAGGAGCCAUGCAGAAGAAGAAUUCCCAGAGG